rnacentral:rRNA from 1 species
UACGUAGGGUGCAAGCGUUAAUCGGAAUUACUGGGCGUAAAGCGUGCGCAGGCGGUUUUGUAAGACAGAUGUGAAAUCCCCGGGCUUAACCUGGGAACUGCAUUUGUGACUGCAAGGCUGGAGUACGGCAGAGGGGGAUGGAAUCCGCGUGUAGCAGUGAAAUGCGUAGAUAUGCGGAGGAACACCGAUGGCGAAGGCAAUCCCCUGGGCCUGUACUGACGCUCAUGCACGAAAGCGUGGGGAGCAAACAGG